GACGAACGCUGGCGGCGUGCCUAAUACAUACAAGUGGGACGCAAGGAAACACACUGUGCUUGCACACCGUGUUUUCUUGAGUCGCGAACGGGUGAGUAACGCGUAGGUAACCUGCCUAUUAGCGGGGGAUAACUAUUGGAAACGAUAGCUAAUACCGCAUAAUAUUAAUUAUUGCAUGAUAAUUGAUUGAAAGAUGCAAGCGCAUCACUAGUAGAUGGACCUGCGUUGUAUUAGCUAGUUGGUAAGGUAAGAGCUUACCAAGGCGACGAUACAUAGCCGACCUGAGAGGGUGAUCGGCCACACUGGGACUGAGACACGGCCCAGACUCCUACGGGAGGCAGCAGUAGGGAAUCUUCGGCAAUGGACGAAAGUCUGACCGAGCAACGCCGCGUGAGUGAAGAAGGUUUUCGGAUCGUAAAGCUCUGUUGUAAGUCAAGAACGUGUGUGAGAGUGGAAAGUUACACAGUGACGGUAGCUACCAGAAAGGG
rnacentral:rRNA from 1 species